UACGGAGGGUGCAAGCGUUAUCCGGAUUUACUGGAUUUAAAGGGUGCGCAGGCGGAUAUGUAAGUCAGUGGUGAAAUCUCUAGGCUUAACCUGGAAAUUGCCGUUGAUACUAUAUAUCUUGAAUGCUGUGGAGGUAAGCGGAAUAUGUCAUGUAGCGGUGAAAUGCUUAGAUAUGACAUAGAACACCUAUUGCGAAGGCAGCUUACUACGCAGAUAUUGACGCUCAUGCACGAAAGCGUGGGGAUCAAACAGG
rnacentral:rRNA from 1 species